rnacentral:rRNA from 1 species
UACGGGGGGGGGCAAGCGUUGUUCGGAAUUACUGGGCGUAAAGGGCUCGUAGGCGGCCAACUAAGUCAGACGUGAAAUCCCUCGGCUUAACCGGGGAACUGCAUCUGAUACUGGAUGGCUUGAGUUCGGGAGAGGGAUGCGGAAUUCCAGGUGUAGCGGUGAAAUGCGUAGAUAUCUGGAGGAACACCGGUGGCGAAGGCGGCAUCCUGGACCAAUACUGACGCUGAGGAGCGAAAGCCAGGGGAGCAAACGGG